CACAGUCAUGACAGUUAGAUUCAGCAUAUCAAAGAACCCCAAUUAUUCAAUUUUGAUGAAAUCAAACAAAAGUUUAAUUUUGGACCCUUUGGGCCCCUUAUUAUGUUGGGACCAAAACUCCCAAAAUCAAACCCAACCUUCCUUUUAUGGUCAUAAACCUUGUGUUUAAAUUUCAUAGAUUUCUAUUUACUUAUACUAACGUUAUGGUGCGAAAACCAAGAAAAAUGCUUAUUUGGGGUCCCUUUUUGGCCCCUAAUUCCUAAACUGUUGGGACCUAAACUCCCCAAAAUCAAUACCAACCUUCCUUUUGUAGUCAUUAACAUUGUGUUUAAAUUUCAUUGAUUUCUAUUUACUUAAACUAAUGUUAUUGUGCGAAAACCAAGAAUAAUGCUUAUUUGGGCCCUUUUUUGGCCCCUAAUUCCUAAACUGUUGAGACCAAAACUCCCAAAAUC
rnacentral:lncRNA from 1 species